GCAAGUCGAACGCUUCUUUUCCCACCGGAGCUUGCUCCACCGGGAAAAGAGGAGUGGCGAACGGGUGAGUAACACGUGGGUAACCUGCCCAUCAGAAGGGGAUAACACUUGGAAACAGGUGCUAAUACCGUAUAACAAUCGAAACCGCAUGGUUUCGUUUUGAAAGGCGCUUUACGGUGCCGCUGAUGGAUGGACCCGCGGUGCAUUAGCUAGUUGGUGAGGUAACGGCUCACCAAGGCCACGAUGCAUAGCCGACCUGAGAGGGUGAUCGGCCACAUUGGGACUGAGACACGGCCCAAACUCCUACGGGAGGCAGCAGUAGGGAAUCUUCGGCAAUGGACGAAAGUCUGACCGAGCAACGCCGCGUGAGUGAAGAAGGUUUUCGGAUCGUAAAACUCUGUUGUUAGAGAAGAACAAGGGUGAGAGUAACUGUUCACCCCUUGACGGUAUCUAACCAGAAAGCCACGGCUAACUACGUGCCAGCAGCCGCGGUAAUACGUAGGUGGCAAGCGUUGUCCGGAUUUAUUGGGCGUAAAGCGAGCGCAGGCGGUUUCUUAAGUCUGAUGUGAAAGCCCCCGGCUCAACCGGGGAGGGUCAUUGGAAACUGGGAGACUUGAGUGCAGAAGAGGAGAGUGGAAUUCCAUGUGUAGCGGUGAAAUGCGUAGAUAUAUGGAGGAACACCAGUGGCGAAGGCGGCUCUCUGGUCUGUAACUGACGCUGAGGCUCGAAAGCGUGGGGAGCAAACAGGAUUAGAUACCCUGGUAGUCCACGCCGUAAACGAUGAGUGCUAAGUGUUGGAGGGUUUCCGCCCUUCAGUGCUGCAGCUAACGCAUUAAGCACUCCGCCUGGGGAGUACGACCGCAAGGUUGAAACUCAAAGGAAUUGACGGGGGCCCGCACAAGCGGUGGAGCAUGUGGUUUAAUUCGAAGCAACGCGAAGAACCUUACCAGGUCUUGACAUCCUUUGACCACUCUAGAGAUAGAGCUUCCCCUUCGGGGGCAAAGUGACAGGUGGUGCAUGGUUGUCGUCAGCUCGUGUCGUGAGAUGUUGGGUUAAGUCCCGCAACGAGCGCAACCCUUAUUGUUAGUUGCCAUCAUUUAGUUGGGCACUCUAGCAAGACUGCCGGUGACAAACCGGAGGAAGGUGGGGAUGACGUCAAAUCAUCAUGCCCCUUAUGACCUGGGCUACACACGUGCUACAAUGGGAAGUACAACGAGUCGCGAAGUCGCGAGGCUAAGCUAAUCUCUUAAAGCUUCUCUCAGUUCGGAUUGUAGGCUGCAACUCGCCUACAUGAAGCCGGAAUCGCUAGUAAUCGCGGAUCAGCACGCCGCGGUGAAUACGUUCCCGGGCCUUGUACACACCGCCCGUCACACCACGAGAGUU
rnacentral:rRNA from 1 species